GACGUAGGGCGCGAGCGUUGUCCGGAUUUAUUGGGCGUAAAGAGCUCGUAGGCGGCUUGUCGCGUCGUCCGUGAAAACUUGGGGCUCAACUCCAAGCUUGCGGUCGAUACGGGCAGGCUAGAGUUCGGUAGGGGAGACUGGAAUUCCUGGUGUAGCGGUGAAAUGCGCAGAUAUCAGGAGGAACACCGGUGGCGAAGGCGGGUCUCUGGGCCGAUACUGACGCUGAGGAGCGAAAAGCGUGGGGGAGCGAACAGG
rnacentral:rRNA from 1 species